CCCUAUGGGGUGCAGCAGUUACGAAAACUCCCCAAUUCACGAAAGUGUGAGGGGGCUAUCCCGAGUGCCGUCCGCUGAGGAUGGCUUUUCCCCAUUGUAUAAAGCUGGGGGAAUAAGGAGAGGGCAAGACUGGUGUCAGCCGCCGCGGUAAUACCAGCUCUCCGAGUGGUGGGGACGUUUAUUGGGCCUAAAGCAUCCGUAGCCUGUUGGAAAAGUCCUCCGUUAAAUCCACCGAUUCAAUCGUUGGGCUGCGGGGGAUACUAUUCAACUAGGGAGCGGGAGAGGCUGACAGUAUUCCCGGGGUAGGGGUGAAAUCCUAUAAUCCCGAGAGGACCACCAGUGGCGAAGGCUGUCAGCUAGAUCGCGUCCGACGGUGAGGGAUGAAAGCUGGGGGAGCGAACCGGAUUAGAUACCCGGGUAGUCCCAGCUGUAAACUCUGCAGGCUAGGUGUUGGAGCGGCUACGUGCCGCCUCAGUGCCCAAGGGAAGCCGUUAAGCCUGCCGCCUGGGAAGUACGGUCGCAAGGCUGAAACUUAAAGGAAUUGGCGGGGGAGCACCACAAGGGGUGAAGCUUGCGAUUUAAUUGGAGUCAACGCCGGAAACCUCACCGGGGGCGACAGCCGAAUGAUGGUCAGAUUAAAGGUCUUACUGGACAAGCUGAGAGGUAGUGCAUGGCC
rnacentral:rRNA from 1 species